rnacentral:lncRNA from 1 species
AUUUACUUUUGAUUUUGUCUUCAUAUUUGGUUAACUCACUCUAGAAGUCUUGGAUGUAACAUAAUAAUAGAUAUAGUCAUCUUUUGGUGUGUUAAUUAAGAACAUGGAAACGAGAUUGAAGUAUAUGGACAUAAUCACAUACGUUUUAGUUUACAAUAGUGGACAUUUCCUGGUACCUCAUCCUAAUACUUGACAUAGUGAAGGUAAUGUAAUUUCCAUGCUCUUUGAAGCUGGUUAAUUACUUUUGGAUCAGCCAAACUUGUUAAAUGAUGGUAAUAUUUAAAAUGAGCACUUCCAUUCACUUCGGGAAUUGUCUUUAGAAAUCUAGAGUUGAAUAUCCUUGACAGUAAAGUUUAUGAUUAGUUAUAAUGAGAAUCACGUGCUAAUGGGGUCAUCAGUCUGGAAUUAUGUCACGUUUAGCGGCACCUCCGGCUCUUGACCAGACCUUUACAUUGAAAGCAUAAAUGAUUCGUGAGUGAUGCAGUUUCUGAGGUCUAUUUAUAUGGAAGUAGUGAACAUCUUUUCUGAAACAGUGUGACAAGACGAGGUGUCAUGGCCACUCCUUGCAUUAUGCAAUGCUUUGUUGGGUACCAACUCAUACAUUUUUUUUCAUGUGCAUGCAUUGUUGAUAUGGCAUAUAGGGUACAUGGGUUGCACUCCUACUUUAUAAAUAAUUUUUACAUUUGGACACACCCUCUUCUUAGUUUCCUACAACUUGAAGGAAUAUGAGCUACAUUUAUGACUUGCACAAGAAAUUCUAAUGAAAUUGCAGAACCUAUUAACUUGGUAUUCAUUUAUUUAUUUAUUUUCCAAUGCGAACUUUAGUUCCACAGAGCUUUGUCUGAAUGAAUUAUAAGCUUUAAGCUUUGCCAUUAUUUUUUUCACAGUUUCUUUUGGUAGUAACUAACGUUUUCUUUGUAAGAUGACACUCAAUGAUAUCGGUUUCAAGAAGCGUUAUUAGCCACUUAUACGCUUUUCGUGUCUCACUUUACUUUACUUCUUGUAGUCUCAUGGUCUCACUUUACCCAUGUGCUUUGUAAAAAAACAACCAAAUUGUCUUUACUUUUUAUGCUAGUAGCUUUGUUUUUUAAAUAUUCU